AUGCUCACUUCAGCAGCACAUACACUAAAAUUGGAACAAUACAGAUAUUAGCAUGGCCCCUGCGCAAGGAUGACAAGCAAAUUUGUGAAGUGUUACGUAUUUUU